GACGAACGCUGGCGGCGUGCUUAACACAUGCAAGUCGAACGGAAAGGCCCUGCUUUUGUGGGGUGCUCGAGUGGCGAACGGGUGAGUAACACGUGAGUAACCUGCCCUUGACUUUGGGAUAACUUCAGGAAACUGGGGCUAAUACCGGAUAGGAGCUCCUGCUGCAUGGUGGGGGUUGGAAAGUUUCGGCGGUUGGGGAUGGACUCGCGGCUUAUCAGCUUGUUGGUGGGGUAGUGGCUUACCAAGGCUUUGACGGGUAGCCGGCCUGAGAGGGUGACCGGCCACAUUGGGACUGGGAUACGGCCCAGACUCCUACGGGAGGCAGCAGUGGGGAAUAUUGCACAAUGGGCGGAAGCCUGAUGCAGCAACGCCGCGUGCGGGAUGACGGCCUUCGGGUUGUAAACCGCUUUCGCCUGUGACGAAGCGUGAGUGACGGCAAUGGGUAAAGAAGCACCGGCUAACUACGUG
rnacentral:rRNA from 1 species